rfam:Brassica napus, WGS project CCCW01000000 data, contig: 2992
GGCCUAUUAGCUCAGUUGGUUAGAACGUCGUGCUAAUAACUCGGGUUGCAGGUUUGAAACCUGCAUAGGCCA